UACGGAGGGGCUAGCGUUGUUCGGAAUUACUGGGCGUAAAGCGCACGUAGGCGGCUUUGUAAGUUAGAGGUGAAAGCCCGGGGCUCAACUCCGGAAUUGCCUUUAAGACUGCAUCGCUAGAAUUGUGGAGAGGUAAGUGGAAUUCCGAGUGUAGAGGUGAAAUUCGUAGAUAUUCGGAAGAAACACCAGUGGCGAAGGCGACUUACUGGACACAUAUUGACGCUGAGGUGGCGAAAGCGUGGGGAGCAAACAGG
rnacentral:rRNA from 1 species